UGGGCGCAAGCCUGAUGCAGCCAUGCCGCGUGUAUGAAGAAGGCCUCGGUUGUAAGUACUUUCAGCGGGAGGAAGGCGACAGGGUUAAUAACCCUGUCGAUUGACGUUACCCGCAGAAGAAGCACCGGCUAACUCCGUGCCAGCAGCCGCGGUAAU
rnacentral:rRNA from 1 species